rnacentral:misc_RNA from 1 species
UACGCCGGCCGCCGUCGCCUUGCCGUGACACACACACACACACACACACACACACACACACACACACGGGAGUGCAGACGCGAAGCACCUCUCUUAUCAUUCUCUAUCGUCGCCCCACCGGGGGUGCAGACACGAUGCAGCAGAUGGUAGUCACGUAUGUCCUUUCCGGACUGGCGAACAUCGCCGAUGUGAACCCGAGGGACGUUCACACCUCCUUGUUCAACGGUAAUGUGCGGGUCAACAACCUGUCACUGCGCCCAGAGACGAUGAACAAAAUCUUGCCGCUGCCUAUCGAGGAAGGCACGGUGCCCGAGAUGGAGCUGCAAGUUCCGAACCCCUCGACGGCAAACGCUAUGGAGGUCAAGGUACACCGCGGACGACUGCUGCUGCCGCUAGAUCUCUCCUCACCGCCUCUGGACCGCACACCGGAGCAGAUUUUGCGCGGCGUCACGGACCACUCCAUCCUUGGUUCUGCCGCUGCGGUGUCGGCGGAUACCAGCUCGGAGCCGGUGUCACCCGCUAGUGAACCUGAGCCGGCGUCGUACGACUACUCUUGUGCCAACUCCGAUAUGGACGAAGAGGACUUCGCGUCGUGUGCCAGCGAUGGCGAUCUUUCGGAUUGCGACUCCACGUGCUGCGGCAGCGGCUUUGGCUCCCCGACGUCGGCUGACGAGACGCAGGCGGCCGAGGUUGCAAAACAGGACGCUGGCUGGCUUGACUACCUGCGCUCGCGCGCGGCGCGGUCGGUGGAGUGGAUCUGGCGUCGGCAGCUGCGCAUUACCUUCACCGACCUCACCCUGACUCUGCCGUGCGACGCACGCAAGAAAAUACACUUUGAAAUCAGCGUGGACUCGUUUGUCGUCACAAUCGAGCCGGCGCAGACUAGCGGUCGUGAGCAGAUGAAGAUUGUGAGCAUGGAGAUCGGUGGCGUCAGCGUCUUUGCCAGUGCCGACGACGUCCGCAGCCGUGUCAUCGUCGUGGAGGCGCUCUCUAUCAAGAUCACAACGGUGUACGAGACGGGCACGGAGCGGGUCCUGCGCAAGAACGUGGCUCUCUCCUUCAACGGAACCAGCACUCUGACGGCUGACGAGGUAACCCUCCUUGCGCUGCUCAAGUGCCAUCUGUCGCGGCAGAUGCGCCUCAGCGUGCCAGCCUACUGUCUGCCAUACUCGAGUCUUCGUGCCCGCGGCUCUCUUUGGCCGUAUGUGAAGUGUUGCGUCGUGCAGGGACUGCGGGACUACCGACAGCGCUACAACUUCAACGCCUCGCACUUGCGCUUCUAUGCCCACGCUAGAGAGCGCUACAUGCAGCUGCUGAACGAGUGCCACCGUAAUCAGAGCGUCGAGGAUCGGCGGCAGGCGCUCGCGGACGCCGAGCAGGACCUGCGGUAUGAGGACGUCAUCUUGUAUUUUCGCCGGCUCGUGCAGGCCAAGUACGCCGCUAACGCCGCCGCGCCGGUCGCGGAGGAGGUGCCGGAGUUGGAGUCUGCUGUUGUGUCCUCCACACACUUUGAGUGGAAGUUGGUGAAGGUCGUCUUGCCGGCACGCAACACUGUAUUCGCCCGGAACACGGCACUCGUUUUCCGAAACGGGGAGACGGUAUUCACUAUUGCCUCCGUCUCACUCGACGCCGAUGGCGCGGUGCAAACCAUGAUUGCCUCCACGACGAGCACGGUGGCACCGUGGGAGCUGCGCAACUCGGCGUUGAAUGAAGAGACAGCGCUCAUAUACUUGCACACGAAGGAGGACUACGUAUCGAGCGAGACUAAGGUGAUCCUGCAGCAGAUCGCACUGAAAGGGAGCAUGGAAGGCGUGCUGUGCUGUCUGAUGCCCAUCGCCGAGGCGCUGCAGCAAAUCGGGGAGCAAGAGAAAUGUGGUGCUACCACCCAGGUUGUGCUGCCGGGACCCUUAAGCAUCCCUCCUGCAGCGCGUGUGGUGAGGCCGUCGACGACGAUUGUAGCGGUGCACAGCGUGUCGGUGCAGCUGGACGACUUUUGUUUCCUCCUCGACCGCCUUUCCGCCACCAGCGCCAAGGCACCGGGAACCCCCGGCAAGCUUGGCUGCACUCUGCGACAGAGCUACCUGCGCCACAAGACCACCUACGUCUUGGCCCCACUCGAGGUCCGCAUGACCGCGCGUGGUGGCGUGGUGGUGUCGCGCGUUGCGCUCGAGGUGCCGCGCGAGACGUGGACGGUGUGGCGCCGCGAUGCUGACAGCCUUCGCCUCCUGUUCCAGAAGCUGCCACGACUCGCUAACGCCGGCGUCGCUCACGCAACUGCUGCUCCAGCGCCUUCUUCCCCCAACACAAACCUCGACGCCCUGAAAGCCAUGACCAAGGUAUUGCAGUGGCCGCCGGUCUCCAGCUGUCCGCCCUUUGAGGUAGAGGAGGUGGCCGUGAACUUCUCUCCACUCGACUGCACAAUUGCGUUGCAUCAAGUCGCUGCGCAGACAGUGUCGCCGUCUCCCAGCAGAUCGUACGGCACGCACUUCACGCUUCGACACGCCUCCGUUGAGUGCCACUACACAGGGCGUUUGGGCCUCUACAUAGAACUAAAAGACGGCAUGCGCGUUGGCAUGAGCACAGAACCAGCGGCGGCUCUUGCGAUGUCUAUCCCUUCUAUCCACAUCACAGGGCGCCGUGACAAGGAGGCGGCAGAGGUGUCACUGCUCGAGAUUCGACGCUUCGAGGCCGUCGUACACAACACUGUGCAGUACGCGAGCAUGUCUGGCGUGUCGCUGGCCGGCAGCGUCCAGCUAGCGGAUGUAGACUUGAUUUACAAGACCGACCCGAGCGUGGUGCCGCUGGCUGACCGACCGUGUCUCACCUCCUACGUGCAGGUGGCUGUCGAAGUGAAUGCCAUCGAUUUGGGCCAGCUAUGCGCCGUGCCAUCGCAUGCAGUGGCCUGUGUCUUAGGGGAGAUCUACCGCUUCGCGUGCGCGGAAAUCGUCUCGGAGGAGUACUACCGCACCUUCUUCAGCUGCUUCAGCGACGUGGCACUGCAGGUGGUGAUGCGCGAGUGUGUUGUGCGCUGUGGCGCUGCUGGGGGGCAUCCGACGCCCGGCAGGGAGUUGUUGCUGUCCAUGUCCAACACGGCCAGCGAGGGGCGCGUCGCGGCGCUUGAUGUAUACCAACCGCACCUCUUCGCCACACCAGACAGCUUUCCGAUACUAAUUCUGAAUGAUGUCGGGCGGCUUUCCAUGGAUGUUGACGUGUCGCAGCUGACGGUGCUCCUGUCAGCGCCUGUGGCGACGUCUCCCUCGAGCGUAGCGGUGAUAGUGAGUGUGAUGCACUGGCGGAUGCCGCUGGAGAAGAUGCCAUUCUGGUGUGCAGAGGCGCAGGAGAUUCCGUCGGUGCCGCAGCAGAUCACCUUGGAGGCGGUGCGAGUAAUUGCGCGUCUCGACCACACGGACGCCGACCUACAGCCGGCUCUGGAGGCUUCCCUGUCAGGACUUACGGCGGAGACUGUCAGCGGCACUGGCGCUGCCGCGGCGGACUUGCCCGGGCUCCCCAUUUCGAGGGAUCUCCAGCUGAGUCCGUCGGAGAGCGACCGCGGCAGCUGCGCUUCCUCGACCGAGGAGCAGUGGGAGACGACGCAAGUGUCACUGCGGCGGUGGAGUGUCGACGUGGACUUGUCGGCGCCGGUUUCUGACUUCGGCAAACUGCAGCACAUGCUUAGUGCCGUCGCUUCAGCGCAGCAGUGCCUCGCCCGCCGCGUCGUCCUGCGUGAGAGCGUCGCAGCAACAAACUUUGACUUGGACGACUGCGGCGACGUCUUCCUCGACGCGCCGACUCAGAUUCUUGUGGUGGAGAGUUGUUUGUUUCGCGCAUCGUCGAGCGACCGACACGUCGUGGUUUGCCCAGGCACGUCAGCGGUGUUUCGGCGAUGCGUGUUUCCCAACCGCGGCGGUGGCGACCUCAUCCGGGUGUCGAGUCGAUCGGCUCUCUUCCUGUGCGAGGACUGUUGCGUCGAGGGUGAGGCGGCACCAAUGGCCAUGGCCUCCGCCGCCCCCGCCACAGCUCCCACCGUGCCGUCGCCGAGGAGCAGCGCUGCGGACGCCGGCGUGAGGCCGCGGCGACGCACGCAUGUGACGGUCGAGGAAGGCUGCGUCGCCAUUGGGCUCGACGCCAGUUCACGGGUGGUUCUCACGCAGCGAGCGCUCGCCUUGACCCACAAGCAAAAGACUCGCCGCUCCUUCUUCAAGCUACGAAACGGCGAGGUUCGAAUCGAGUACGCGGAUGCAGAACAGCGGGUGCCCGUCCUUACAAAAACGUCCCUGGAGGGCGAUUUUGCCGUGUAUCUGCCGAAUCGCUCGUGCUCCGCGAGCUGUUCGGUUACUUGCGGCGAGGUGACCAUCCCACUUCUGUUCUCCAAGAUGCAUGCUGCUCAGGAGCGUCUGGAGCUGCUGACCAGUUUCUCACGCGCGGAGGCGGCUGACGCAUCCGGGCGGACAGCGGCUUCCGCAGACGACCUUUCGGCGGCGACCUACGUUGUCCCGCCGCCACCGUCGGCUUCUCCGGAGAAGCAGCAGCGCUUUCCGUACGACUCGUGGAAGCUGCUGCUGUCUCUCUCCCUAAUUCCGCUGACGGUGAGACUUCUUGGCGGCAUGACGGUGGCGCGGGUCACGUUCUCGAACGCCUUUGUGUGGUCCAAGCGGGAGCCUUUCGCUGAGGCGCAGCUGGAGGCGCGCAUCGCCGUACACGACAUGGCACUGUGGGAGUGGCCUCAGCAGUCCUUUCAGUCCGUCGUGACCAGUCCUGUCUUCGUUGGUGUGCAGGGUCGUAUGCCGACCCCUCUCAGCGCGAGCGUGACGGCGUCCGUCUCUCCCGUGCAAGCUGCCGUGUCGACCGACCAGGUAAAGCUGAUGCUCCACGCCCUGUCUAGCAACGCAGCGGCUGCAGUGUCUGCGCGUCCCGCAACGGCACCAGCACAGACGGAAAGCAUCUCGCCACAGGGGCUUUGCUGGUACAACUACACCGGCGUCGCUCUGCAGGCGCGCGGCGGCCACGGCGCGAUCGUCCGCGUUCCGGCGAGGCCGCGAGCAGCAGGAGACGCGCCGUCACAGGUCUCGGAGGCAACCAACGCGGUUGCACCGCUCAUAGUCACGGAGAUCGACGGGACGGCCGUAGACUACGUGGAGCGCGACGUGGUCGAGAAAGAACGGAGUGGGACGGGCUCGGCGCCGGGGUACCUGACGCCGCUCUUUGUGUCGCGCAAGACGGUGGUGUUGGCAGACAAGCGGCGCUUCCACGUUACUUCCACGCUGAAGCGCGACUUGGUGCACGCCAUCUCCGUGCGCACGCUGGUGCAGAUCGAGAACGAGACACCGCUUCCUCUCGUGCUCACAGCCGGCGGCCAAAGCGCGUGCAUCGUGGAACCCUUCACGCUCUCAUGUGUGCCAGAGGCGAUGAUGCACAGCACUGACAUCAGUGUAGCGGUGACGCUGACGAAGGCGGGUGCCGCUACGCUGAGGGAGCCGCUGUUGCCAAAGUCCAUACCCGCCAUGGAUUUCUAUCAGUGCUGUCAUCAGCAGGGCCGUCCCCCUGCGGACAUGACGCGCGAGUUUGUCUCUCAACUGGACGGGUCUUCAACCUUCAUGGUGACGAUGUUCGAACUGCAAGGCCCUGUGCUGCUCUUGCGCUUCCGCGGUGCUAGGCCGCACGUCGUAAACGACACUGUGUACCCUCUGCGCGUCACCGCCGUCAACACCCUUGGUGAGAUGCUGGCGAGCGAGUAUGUUCUUGCAGGAGAGCGGGCAUACUUCCUCAAUCUGCCGCCGACCGGGGCGGUGCAUGGCGAUGUGCACCUUUGUGUGGACGACGACGAGUACGAGGCGCACGUUGAAGAGGCCCUGUUCGACCGCGAGACGGCCCGCAUGAACAGCAGCGUGCUCAUGACCCACCAGGCGCACCCACGCCGCUACUUCUUUCACUUCAGCUUGUCUGUGGAGAGCAGGGGGCCGGCCGGAGAGUACGGCGUUGCCGUCACGGCUGGCUGCCACUGCCUCGUGAAGAACUGCACCACGAUGGACCUCUUCUUCUUCACCGGUGAGGGCAACUCCGUCGGGACAAUGGGCACGAGGGGGCUGCCAGGCUCCACUGCCUCAGGCGCAAUCGGCUACGUUCCGUCGAACGUGGUACUGCGUAUCAAGCCGAAGGGUGCUGCGUUAUCCGAGGCCUUCGAGAUUGACAGGAGCGGCGAGGGGUGCGUCAUUCAGUGCGACCAUGCCCCCGAGGCGAGCGCAUUCUCCGCGUUGUACUUCCUUCUGCGCACCGUCUCAGCCAGCCCUGCCCACCGUCUCGCGGAGCUGCUGCCCGCAGUGGUGUUCCGCAACCGCCACGCCCGCUACACGCUGCUCGUCAAGCACGUCGUCCGCGAAGCGGGUGCCGUCAAACCACUAGAGGAGACCGUGUUCGAGGUGCCACCACACAGUGACUGCUGUUACUACACCCUGUCCAAGUACGGCUACACAAACGACCUUCUCUUUGCGUGGUGCAGUGGCAGCGGCGGCUGCGCCGCCGCUUCGAGCAGGUUCUCCUCCGUCGUCGAGACAGACCUGGCUCCUGGCACGACAUGGAGCGGGUUCGUGUGCGUCGGUGCCACCCAUCAUCAGAUUGACAUCGCGAAGGGAAGCCUCUAUGAGACGGCGUACGUGACGGUCGGCCCGGCUGUGCUGCCGAGGGUGAAGCUGGUGAACUUCACGAGCAUCAGCUUCCGUGACGUGGGCUGCUACCAAGUCGCUUUCCCUCGACCCUCCAAGAACAACAAGUACCUGCUCCUCACGAGCACCGACGGCGCUGUGUACACGGUGGAUCUGCUGCAAGAAGAGCCGUUGGAGCUCGACGCGGGGGUAACGGUGCAGACAAUUCGUGGUGAGGGUGACCGGUGCUGCGUGGUGUUGUCAAGCAGGUGGGUAUUCACGACCAAAGGCAAGACGUGGGCGGAGGAGGUUCAGAUUUCAGUCAAUGUGCAGACGAACGGCGUGUCGUUGCGUCUGCGUGACGCGAAUACCGAUCCGCUGCAUCUCUGCUGGCGGUCACUGGCGGCGAACGUCAUGUGGACUCAGAUGAUCUCCGUGCAGUGCAGCGUGACUGGCAUCUGUCUCGAGAGCCACUACGAGGGCCGCAAGCAGCAGGUAGCUGAGCCGUUCGACGCUGAUGUAAGCCUUCGUGAGAUGCGUCGCACGAGCCGGGACGUCUAUCUCAAGGGCUUCUAUCUUGGCCUGCAGCAGCUCACUAUCACUGUCUCCGAAGUUCUGCUGUAUCAGCUACAGAUGGUCGCAUCGCGCUGCCGCGUAGACAUGGUGUUUGACCCACUGGCAUGGGUGCAGGAGCCUACCGCGGUGGCGUUGCUGCGGAGUGUGCCCGUCACCCUGCCGCAGCACCUGCACAUUGGCAGCGCUAGCAUCGCAGAAACGCCGCUGGAGCUGAGCUGGGACCGCAGCACGCUCCCGCCGCAUGACUUUCUGCUCGGCGACUCAGCUAUCUCAAAGCUGAUUCCGUCCCUCCAUCAUGCCAUGCUCGUCUUGCCAAAAUUACAGCUCCGAAAUGUGUCGCGUGUGUCGCUGGCGCAGCUGAUCGGCCGCGUCCGGCAAAUUCUCAUCAUGGAGGUGGUGAAGCAGAUACCGAAGAUGGUCACCACGGUAGGGUUCUUCAAGAAGAACUCGUCCCUUCUCGAGAAGGUCACUUCCACCGUGUCGUCCUUUCUCUUCCGUACCUCGGACCAGACGGACACCACCGACGACGGCGGCUCGGCGCUGAUAUGACGAGAGGCACAGCCGGCAGUGCUUGCUCUUGGACUGAGAGCAAGCGAACCAAAUUGUGUGUGUGUGUGUGUGCAUGUGUGCGCGUUUGAUGCGCUCCUCAAACCAGUCCACAGGUGCUCUCUUCCCUGCAUGUGCGGAAGCUCACACGUGCAACGGCAGCACUCUCUUACAAGGCGCCACGUGGGCUCACAUGUCUCCCACUGCCUCUCCUCCUCGUUUGUGGUCGCGGUGCGCAUCUGACGACACUGCUGCCGUCGUCUCUCCGGCGCCUUUUCUGCGUUUCGCUUGCUGCCGGACGGGGUGCACUACCGGG